GGUAUCAUGGCAGAGUGGUUAUGCGGAGUACUGUUAAUACUUUUUACAAAGGUUCAAUUCCUUUUGAUGCCU
rnacentral:tRNA from 2 species